rnacentral:rRNA from 1 species
UUAAGCGACUAAGCGUACACGGUGGAUGCCCUGGCAGUCAGAGGCGAUGAAGGACGUGCUAAUCUGCGAUAAGCGUCGGUAAGGUGAUAUGAACCGUUAUAACCGGCGAUUUCCGAAUGGGGAAACCCAGUGUGUUUCGACACACUAUCAUUAACUGAAUCCAUAGGUUAAUGAGGCGAACCGGGGGAACUGAAACAUCUAAGUACCCCGAGGAAAAGAAAUCAACCGAGAUUCCCCCAGUAGCGGCGAGCGAACGGGGAGCAGCCCAGAGCCUGAAUCAGUGUGUGUGUUAGUGGAAGCGUCUGGAAAGGCGCGCGAUACAGGGUGACAGCCCCGUACACAAAAAUGCACAUGCUGUGAGCUCGAUGAGUAGGGCGGGACACGUGGUAUCCUGUCUGAAUAUGGGGGGACCAUCCUCCAAGGCUAAAUACUCCUGACUGACCGAUAGUGAACCAGUACCGUGAGGGAAAGGCGAAAAGAACCCCGGCGAGGGGAGUGAAAAAGAACCUGAAACCGUGUACGUACAAGCAGUGGGAGCACGCUUAGGCGUGUGACUGCGUACCUUUUGUAUAAUGGGUCAGCGACUUAUAUUCUGUAGCAAGGUUAACCGAAUAGGGGAGCCGAAGGGAAACCGAGUCUUAACUGGGCGUUAAGUUGCAGGGUAUAGACCCGAAACCCGGUGAUCUAGCCAUGGGCAGGUUGAAGGUUGGGUAACACUAACUGGAGGACCGAACCGACUAAUGUUGAAAAAUUAGCGGAUGACUUGUGGCUGGGGGUGAAAGGCCAAUCAAACCGGGAGAUAGCUGGUUCUCCCCGAAAGCUAUUUAGGUAGCGCCUCGUGAAUUCAUCUCCGGGGGUAGAGCACUGUUUCGGCAAGGGGGUCAUCCCGACUUACCAACCCGAUGCAAACUGCGAAUACCGGAGAAUGUUAUCACGGGAGACACACGGCGGGUGCUAACGUCCGUCGUGAAGAGGGAAACAACCCAGACCGCCAGCUAAGGUCCCAAAGUCAUGGUUAAGUGGGAAACGAUGUGGGAAGGCCCAGACAGCCAGGAUGUUGGCUUAGAAGCAGCCAUCAUUUAAAGAAAGCGUAAUAGCUCACUGGUCGAGUCGGCCUGCGCGGAAGAUGUAACGGGGCUAAACCAUGCACCGAAGCUGCGGCAGCGACGCUUAUGCGUUGUUGGGUAGGGGAGCGUUCUGUAAGCCUGUGAAGGUGUACUGUGAGGUAUGCUGGAGGUAUCAGAAGUGCGAAUGCUGACAUAAGUAACGAUAAAGCGGGUGAAAAGCCCGCUCGCCGGAAGACCAAGGGUUCCUGUCCAACGUUAAUCGGGGCAGGGUGAGUCGACCCCUAAGGCGAGGCCGAAAGGCGUAGUCGAUGGGAAACAGGUUAAUAUUCCUGUACUUGGUGUUACUGCGAAGGGGGGACGGAGAAGGCUAUGUUGGCCGGGCGACGGUUGUCCCGGUUUAAGCGUGUAGGCUGGUUUUCCAGGCAAAUCCGGAAAAUCAAGGCUGAGGCGUGAUGACGAGGCACUACGGUGCUGAAGCAACAAAUGCCCUGCUUCCAGGAAAAGCCUCUAAGCAUCAGGUAACAUCAAAUCGUACCCCAAACCGACACAGGUGGUCAGGUAGAGAAUACCAAGGCGCUUGAGAGAACUCGGGUGAAGGAACUAGGCAAAAUGGUGCCGUAACUUCGGGAGAAGGCACGCUGAUAUGUAGGUGAAGUCCCUCGCGGAUGGAGCUGAAAUCAGUCGAAGAUACCAGCUGGCUGCAACUGUUUAUUAAAAACACAGCACUGUGCAAACACGAAAGUGGACGUAUACGGUGUGACGCCUGCCCGGUGCCGGAAGGUUAAUUGAUGGGGUUAUCCGUAAGGAGAAGCUCUUGAUCGAAGCCCCGGUAAACGGCGGCCGUAACUAUAACGGUCCUAAGGUAGCGAAAUUCCUUGUCGGGUAAGUUCCGACCUGCACGAAUGGCGUAAUGAUGGCCAGGCUGUCUCCACCCGAGACUCAGUGAAAUUGAACUCGCUGUGAAGAUGCAGUGUACCCGCGGCAAGACGGAAAGACCCCGUGAACCUUUACUAUAGCUUGACACUGAACAUUGAGCCUUGAUGUGUAGGAUAGGUGGGAGGCUUGGAAGUGUGGACGCCAGUCUGCAUGGAGCCGACCUUGAAAUACCACCCUUUAAUGUUUGAUGUUCUAACGUUGACCCGUAAUCCGGGUUGCGGACAGUGUCUGGUGGGUAGUUUGACUGGGGCGGUCUCCUCCUAAAGAGUAACGGAGGAGCACGAAGGUUGGCUAAUCCUGGUCGGACAUCAGGAGGUUAGUGCAAUGGCAUAAGCCAGCUUGACUGCGAGCGUGACGGCGCGAGCAGGUGCGAAAGCAGGUCAUAGUGAUCCGGUGGUUCUGAAUGGAAGGGCCAUCGCUCAACGGAUAAAAGGUACUCCGGGGAUAACAGGCUGAUACCGCCCAAGAGUUCAUAUCGACGGCGGUGUUUGGCACCUCGAUGUCGGCUCAUCACAUCCUGGGGCUGAAGUAGGUCCCAAGGGUAUGGCUGUUCGCCAUUUAAAGUGGUACGCGAGCUGGGUUUAGAACGUCGUGAGACAGUUCGGUCCCUAUCUGCCGUGGGCGCUGGAGAAUUGAGGGGGGCUGCUCCUAGUACGAGAGGACCGGAGUGGACGCAUCACUGGUGUUCGGGUUGUCAUGCCAAUGGCACUGCCCGGUAGCUAAAUGCGGAAGAGAUAAGUGCUGAAAGCAUCUAAGCACGAAACUUGCCCCGAGAUGAGUUCUCCCUGACUCCUUGAGAGUCCUGAAGGAACGUUGAAGACGACGACGUUGAUAGGCCGGGUGUGUAAGCGCAGCGAUGCGUUGAGCUAACCGGUACUAAUGAACCGUGAGGCUUAACCUU